rnacentral:hammerhead_ribozyme from 1 species
ACUCUGCUGAUGAGUCCCAUACUAGGACGAAGCGUUCGUCCAGUGU